AUACUUACCUGGCAGGGGAGGUACCAUGAUCAUGAAUGUGGUUUUCCCAGGGCAAGGCUUAUCCAUUGAACUCCAGAUAUGCUGACCCCUGUGAUUUCUCCAAAAUGUGGGAAACUUGACUGCAUAACUUGUGGUAGUGGGGGACUGCAUUCAUGCUCUCCCCUA
ensembl:snRNA U1 U1 spliceosomal RNA